GCUUACGCCCAUACCACCCUGAGAACGCCCCAUCUCGUCCGAUCUUGGAAGCUAAGCAGGGUCGGGCCUGGUUAGUACUUGGAUGGGAGACCGCCUGGGAAUACCAGGUGCUGUAAGCU
rnacentral:rRNA from 1 species